rnacentral:rRNA from 1 species
AUUGAACGCUGGCGGCAGGCUUAACACAUGCAAGUCGAGCGGAGAUGAGGUGCUUGCACCUUAUCUUAGCGGCGGACGGGUGAGUAAUGCUUAGGAAUCUGCCUAUUAGUGGGGGACAACAUUCCGAAAGGAAUGCUAAUACCGCAUACGUCCUACGGGAGAAAGCAGGGGAUCUUCGGACCUUGCGCUAAUAGAUGAGCCUAAGUCGGAUUAGCUAGUUGGUGGGGUAAAGGCCUACCAAGGCGACGAUCUGUAGCGGGUCUGAGAGGAUGAUCCGCCACACUGGGACUGAGACACAGCCCAGACUCCUACGGGAGGCAGCAGUGGGGAAUAUUGGACAAUGGGGGGAACCCUGAUCCAGCCAUGCCGCGUGUGUGAAGAAGGCCUUAUGGUUGUAAAGCACUUUAAGCGAGGAGGAGGCUACUGAGACUAAUACUCUUGGAUAGUGGACGUUACUCGCAGAAUAAGCACCGGCUAACUCUGUGUCAGCCGCCGCAGUAAAAC